AGCUAAUGGUGGAUGCCUUGGCAGUUUGAGCCGAAGAAGGACGCGUGAAUGAGCGCGAAAACAACGGUGAGCCCUCUAUCAGGCAUUAUCAACCGUUGAUUUCCGAAUGGAGUAAUCCCACCCUGCGCAAGCAGGGUGAUCGGGUACCGUCUGGUACCUGAAGGUAACCUGGUGAACUGAAACAUCUAAUUAACCAGAGGAAAAGAAAACAAUUUAUUUCUUCGAGCAAUCGAAGGAUGUGAUUUCGUCAGUAGCGGCGAGCGAAAGCGAAAUAGCCUAAACCCCGCCUUUGGCGGGGGGUUGUGGGACCACAGUAGGGAGUGAGUUUUGAUAGCAGAAUGUUUUGGAAAAGACAGCUAAAGAGAGUGAAAGCCUCGUAUGCUAAAUCGAAACUUACCCUGGUGGAUAUCCCAAGUACCACGAGCCACGGAAAAUCUUGUGGGAAGCUGGGUCGGUCACGAUCCAAGGCUAAAUACUCAAACUGACCGAUAGUGAACAAGUACCGUGAGGGAAAGGUGAAAAGUCCCCCGAAAGGGGAGUGAAAUAGAACCUGAAAUCAUUAGCUAACAAACAGCAAGAGCAUCUCGUUUUCACUCGAUGCUCAAACUCAAAAGUUAAAACUCAAACCUCAAAACUAAAAUUGUAUUAAUACAAUCUAAAUUUUUGACAUUUGACAUUUGAGAUUUGACAUUGAACACCGAGCGAAGGCGAGGUGUGAUUGCGUGCCUAUUGAAGAAUGAGCCAGCGAGUGGCCUCACCUUUCGUCAACUUAACCAGUUCUACUGGGUAGGUAUAGCGAAAGCAAGUCCUAAUAGGGCGAUUUAGAAAGGUGAGACCGACCCGAAACUGGGUGAGCUAACCAUGAACAGGGUGAAUCCCGAUCAAAAUCGGGAAGAGGCCCGUACCCGUUGUCGGUGAAAUGACAUGGGACGAUUUGUGGUUAGGGGUAAUAUGCCUAUCGAACCCAGAGAUAGCUGGUUCUCCCCGAAAUAUAUUUAGGUAUAGCGGCGUAAAAAAUUUUACAGGGAUAGAGCGACUAGAUGGUUGUGAGAGCGUAAGCGAUUACGAUCAACUAAACUCCGAAUACUGUAAAAAAUUUAGACGCCAGUCAGUCUCGCCGGGAUAAGCCGGUGCAGGCGAAAGGGAAACAUCCCAGAUUCCCGUCUAAGGUUCCUAAAUGACUUUUAAGUGGAAAAGGCCGUUGGAUGUCCAACACAGUUGGGAGGUUGGCUCAGAAGCAGCCAUCCUUUAAAGAGUGCGUAACAGCUCACCUAAAUAGCCCUCCGAUUCGGAGGGAGGAUGUCCGGCGCCAAAAAUGAUCGGAGCUAAAAGUCUGCCGAAGACGGAAACUUGUGCUAAGCACAAGAAAUUCCAAUUAUCAAUUCACAAGAAACAAAUAAAUUUCAAAUUAUAAAUUCAAAAAUUAAAUAUUUUUUAAUUUGAGAAUUGAAUAUUGAAUAUUUUUGGAAUACUUGGAAUUUGUAAUUUGGAGCUUCUCGUGCUUUGCACGAGUGGUAGGGGAGCAUCCCGACAACAGCGAAGGUAAAUUGUAAGAUUUGCUGGAGUUGUCGGGAGUGAGAAUGCUGGCAUAAGUAGUGGAUCUCCCGAUGAAAACUCGGGAUGCCGAAAACCCAAGGUUUCCUCAGCAAUGUCAAUCAUCUGAGGGUAAGUCGGAUCUAAGGGAGUACCUUAUGGUACUACCGAUGUACAAACAGUUAAAAUUCUGUUACUUCAAUAUUUUCGUUAUUACUUAAAUUCUGACGAAAUUUGAUAUCUUGCCCCUCCUAUAUGGGGGGUUAAGCUGCAAAUAAUGCUGUUAAAGGUAUUGCAAGCAGUGAAUACAACUCUGACGUAACGUCGGGGGAGGCUUGAGAUUUAAGUUUCCAAGAAAAGGAUUUUAAGGAGAAAGUGUUGAAUCCGUACCGACAACCGACACAGGUGGGUUGGUGGAGUACACCAAGGCAUACGGGUAAUGAUGAUUCAAGGAACUCGGCAAAAAAGCUGGACGUAACUUAGGAAUAUGUCCUCCCCGACUUAGUCGGGGUACAACAAACGUUUGUCAACCGACUGUUUAGCAAAAACACAGGCUCCUGCUAACCCUAAAAGGGGAUGUAUAGGAGCUGAAACCUGUCCGGUACUGGUAAGUUAAUCACUUCGGGUGACCCCCGCCUCUGGCGGGGAAAGCUUGAGGUGCAAGCUCCAGUGAACGACAGCUCUAACCCUGAGAGUUCUAAGGUAGCGUAGCCCCUUGCCGGGUAAGUUCCGGCCCGCAUGAAAGGUCUAACGAGUUGACAACUGUCUUGAAUCACUGCCCGACGAAAUUGAAAUGGCUGUGAAGAUGCGGCCUACCUACACCUGGACAAAAAGACCCCGGGAGCUUAACUGAAACUAGGUAUUGGCGAAAAGAAACAAACUGUUGAGCGUAGGAGGGACCCCGACUUAGUCGGGGGACAAUGAAACACCUCUCUUUUGUUUUUUUUCACCUCAUCCCGCCUUUGGCGGGAGACAGUACUUGGCGGUCAGUUUAACUGGGGCGGUUUCCUCCAAAAGAGUAACGGAGGAGCGCAAAGGUCAGCUAAUUCCGCAUAGAAAUCGGAAAUAUAGUGCAAACGCAUAAGCUGGCUUAACUGUGAGGCAUACAAGCCGAACAGAUGCGAAAGCAGGCGUUAGUGAUCCCCCGCCAGUCUGUGAUUUGACGGCGGGGCUUAACGGAUAAAAGCUACCCCGGGGAUAACAGGCUAGUCACGUCCGAGAGCUCAUAUCGACGACGUGGUUCGGCACCUUGAACAAAAUCGGGGCGCCAUAAGAGUAAUCUUAAAGUCUGUAAUCUAAUAGAAUUUAGGUCUUUUUGAAAAAUAUCAGCUCAUAACGGUGAACUCCUAGCUGUGAAGUUAGGACAACACCGUGGGAAGUCCUUCGACAAGCUCAGGAUAAAUCCUAGUUUUGUUGAUUGUGACCCCGUAACGACUUCCCGCCUCUGGCGGGAGACUUAGUAAAUUAAUUUACUAGGUAACACGCUGACCCCCGAUUUAAUCGGGGUGAAGGUAUAGUCUAUACUUCAAGUAAUUGAAGUUUUAUUAACGAUGUCGGCUCAUCGCAUCCUGGGGCUGAAGUCGGUCCCAAUGGUCGGGCUGUUCGCCCGUUAAAGCGGUACGCGAGCUGGGUUCAGAACGUCGUGAGACAGUUCGGACUCUAUCCGGUGUAGGCGCAUGGAAUUUUGAGGAGGUUUUUCCACAGUACGAGAGGACCUGGAAGAAGAGAUCCCUGGUGUACCGGUUGUCCCAAAAGGGCAUCGCCGGGUAGCUAUAUCUCUAUUCGAUAAACACUGAAAGCAUAUCAAGUGUGAAGCGAGCUCCAAGAUUAGAAUUCCACAUGAGCUUUCCCGAAGAUUACGGGAUUAUAGGCGUCAGGUGUAAGUCUCGCAAGGGAUUUAGCCAAGACGUACUAAUAGCCA
rnacentral:rRNA from 1 species